AGCAGCCGCGGUAAUUCCAGCUCCAAUAGCGUAUAUUAAAGUUGUUGCAGUUAAAAAGCUCGUAGUUGAAUUUCGGGGUCAGUAGGUUGGUCAUGCCUCCGGUAUGUACUGGUGUCACUGGUUCCUCCCUUCUGAAGAACCAUCAUGCUAUUAAUUUAGUGUGGUGGGAAAUCAGGACUGUUACUUUGAAAAAAUUAGAGUGUUUAAAGCAGGCUCACGCUUGAAUACAUUAGCAUGGAAUAAUGAAAUAGGACGUUGAUCCUAUUUUGCUGGUUUCUAGGAUUGACGUAAUGAUUAAUAGGGAUAGUUGGGGGCAUUAGUAUUCAAUUGUCAGAGGUGAAAUUCUUGGAUUUAUUGAAGACUAACUACUGCGAAAGCAUUUGCCAAGGAUGUUUUCAUUAAUCAAGAACGAAAGUUAGGGGAUCGAAGACGAUCAGAUACCGUCGUAGUCUUAACCAUAAACUAUGCCGACUAGGGAUCGGAUGAUGUUAAUUUUUUAAUGACUCAUUCGGCGUCCG
rnacentral:rRNA from 1 species